rnacentral:rRNA from 1 species
GCGCUAACACCUGCAGUCGAACGAAACUUCGGGUUAGUGGCGGACGGGUGAGUACGCGUGAGAAUCUGCCCUCAGGAGGGGGACAACAGCUGGAAACGGCUGCUAAUACCCCAUAUGCCGAGAGGUGAAAUGAAUUUCGCCUGAGGAUGAGCUCGCGUCUGAUUAGCUAGUUGGUGUAGGUAAUGGCUCACCAAGGCAUCGAUCAGUAGCUGGUCUGAGAGGAUGAUCAGCCACACUGGGACUGAGACACGGCCCAGACUCCUACGGGAGGCAGCAGUGGGGAAUUUUCCGCAAUGGGCGAAAGCCUGACGGAGCAACGCCGCGUGAGGGAUGAAGGCCUCUGGGCUGUAAACCUCUUUUAUCAAGGAAGAAGAUCUGACGGUACUUGAUGAAUAAGCCACGGCUAAUUCCGUGCCAGCAGCCGCGGUAAUACGGGAGUGGCAAGCGUUAUCCGGAAUUAUUGGGCGUAAAGCGUCCGCAGGCGGCCCUUCAAGUCUGCUGUUAAAAAGUGGAGCUUAACUCCAUCAUGGCAGUGGAAACUGUUGGGCUUGAGUGUGGUAGGGGCAGAGGGACUUCCCGGUGUAACGGUGAAAUGCGUAGAUAUCGGGAAGAACACAGUGGCGAAGGCGCUCUGCUGGGCCAUCACUGACGCUCAUGGACGCAAC